rnacentral:lncRNA from 1 species
AAAGUAGCUAUAAAUCUGGACGGAAGAGAUUUAUGGUGUAGUUCCCAUAAAUCUCUAUGUUUGUUUUAACAAACUUCAUGAUAAACUUUGCAAGGUUGUUUCAACGGAACAUUUAAAGAGAGAAAAUGGAUUGUUUUUGUUUGACUAACAUAUUUGAUGUCAUGCAAAUUCAUUCUAAUUUCUAAAAAAAAAAUAUACACUCCACCAACUUGUCUUUUGUGUUUACAUAGAGCAAAAUAUUAAAAAAUAAAAACUUACAUUUUCUCAAAAUAAAAUAAAAAAACAACUUCAAUAAAUGAAUUAACUAUACAACGAAUUUAUGUUUAUGUAUAAAAAAUUUGUAACUAAACCCUUAUUUUUUAAGCAAACACUAAAGUCAUUUGUUAUAAAUGAAUUAAGGCUCUC